rnacentral:lncRNA from 1 species
UACAAAAUCAUAAGUUUUACUCUCAAUUUUACGUCUUAUGACUUAUCUCAUACUUCACUUAUAUCACUAGUGGUCGGAACAUAAUAUAUAACAUGUUCAUUUUUAACUCAAGGAUUUAUUCAAAUUUGUCUCUUUUAACUCAUUAAACUUUUAACCCAUACCACUUUAGGAGAUUUCUUACAACUAUAAUUCUAUUAUCAAAUCUUAAUAUGUUCUGCCCUUAGUAAAUUCCAACAAAACAACUCAAAUACAUGUGACUGCUCCACCACACUAAAGGGAACCAAAGUGCAAAAUUGUAUAGUAGUGCAACACAUCAAUCCACCACACCAAAAAGCUUAAAAGAGCAUAAAC